AACCAACAGGUAGACUUAAAGAGGGCACAGUAAAAUAAAAGAUGACAUUAGAUGGAAUAAAGUUAUUCCCAAAACCAUUAAUCAUCACAGAGAAGUAAAGUAAACUUUUUAAACAAAAAAAAAAUCAGAAGCUAUAACCAUGGACGAAAGAGGAAGCGGGAGAAGCAAGGGAACGAUCGUCCCUUUCCUUCGAUCAAAAGGUUUUUCGCUCUCAUAAACAAAAUCGAUUUCCUUCUCCACUUACAGUUACAAAGAAACCUUCACAACACGAUUCAAACAUCGGCUAAGAGUAAUAUUCGAGAAUGGCACUAACCAGCUGCAACGAAGCCGGCCAACGAAUGAGCAAGUAAGAGUCUUGCUGAAUCUUCUUCACAGCGUUCCUUUCCUACGGGUUCGUCCGUUAUCAACCACCGCUCACUUUUGGUUAUUGAAAUUUUUAGGGUUUCUCCUCUCUCUUCAGUAGCCGUCAAUACUCUUCUCUAGGGUUUUUUCGUGGUCGUCCUUUGGUGGAGGAGGAGGCUCCUUUUAUACUCCCCCUGUUUAGGGUUUUUGAGCUGGCUAUGUUGAUCAAAAGGGUAAUGCUCUUGGAAGUGCUUUAGGGUGCUCACAGUUUGUCUACAUUAUUCGGUGUUUGAUUUGGAACAGGAGAAAACGUUGAGCUUACGAGCAUGGCUUUGAUUUUUUUUUUGUUGAGGCUGUGGUGUAUGGUCUUUGGAAAAAGAGUUGUGAGAUCCUGUUGAAACUAUAGCAACUUGGGGAGCGAACUGCUGUAUGUGGCCUCCAUUAGAAGAGGCAUUUGAACUGUUGUGUUUGAUUAAUUUCGGGCGAGUUGAUUCCAUAUUGUUUAAAUUUACAUGAUCUUCAACUUGUCACUGCUUUUGGAAAGAGGAAGAAGGCAUGCUUUCCAUACCCUGCGAUUGAGAAACAGAAGAUCCAUCUAACAAACCCUUUGAUGACUCCGAUUUCGUAAAAGCUCUAGCCGAAUCAGACAAUGCUGGCCAAGAGUGUGCAUCCAUAACCGGCCGUACCUCUGAAGCUGCACCAUUGGAGGAAGGCUUAUUCCAAGCAGGUCUUGUGCAUAUAUGUUCAUAGUUGAAGAAUGGUUUCCAAUUUGUCAAACAAAUUUUGAUGGCAGUUCACAAGGUGUCAUCCAUUUAGCUUCUGCUGCACCCAAAAUCCCUGUGCUACUGAAUAUAGAAGCCUUGCAAGAGUACUCAGUUGAAGGUGUGAGGUUUUCUAAUUUGAAUCUUUUCUCGGGCCUCAAAACAAUGAAAGUCGGUUGUUCGGGGUAGUCCGUUGAUGAUAUUCUAUGCCAAAGCCUGCAGCCUAGAAAGUUCUUUAAGAGUUUGUCUUUGUAUUCAAGCACACUGACCAUUGAGGUGGGAAGACACUCUUCGAAAUGUAAAGAACAUGUUGGUGCUUCUUUCUUUUCUUCACAACUAGAAAAGAGUUCAGAAAACUUUAAAUCAAAACAUUCAACUGUAGUAGAGCACAACUUCUGAACCUCAACACCGCAUGAGAGGCUACUCACAAUUCCACGCGUCAUCCUAGCAUAUACGUGAUCCAGAGGUCCCGCUUCAUUCUCCAAUAAUUCGAGAGUGGUUUCUACGAUCUUAUGCACUUCCGUGUAUACUUUCGUUCCUGUGAGAAUUCUGUGGGCUAAGGAAAUUCGCACAGAGAGUAUAUCCACUCUUCUUGCUUCUCUGGCAACCAAUAAUUGCUUUCUCCAUGUCCUCAUUAAUUCAUUAAUUUUUCCACAAGAAACACAACAGAAGCUUCCAUCCAAGGUUACACCGGGACUUCCUUUCAAAAUUCAAGACAUUUGAUUACUCUAAGCACAUUGCAAAUGACACGACAUUCUAUAUGACUCUUCAUUCGGUUUAUCAGAGGUGCAGGUCAACCACAAACUAGGAUCCUUGUUAUCGUUGUAACAACGACAUAUACAACAAGAACAUCUCUUGCAAAAUGAAUCUUCUGGUUUCAGUGUAGCUUUGCAUGCCACAUUCCGACAAACUAAGGUUUUCGUUGUUUCCUCAUUUGUGUUCUCUAUUUGAACAUUACGUAAAUCAAGAGAAGGGGGUCCUUUUUUCCUUUUAUAUCCUACACAACUUUUGGCAGGAGAAUGAGCAAGAGCAUUUUGGUCGACGUACAAGUUGGAUUUCUGAGAAAUUAACUUCAGAAGAUAUUCUAUCAUUUGACCCUUAGUAUAUCCAGUGUACUUCCUUUCUUUGCCUAAUUCAGCACAGAUUAAUUCUAGGAGUUCCCGGCGAGUAAAUGAUUGAAGUAUAUCCGGGGCAUCUUUGGACUGACGAGCAACUUCAUGGACCAGUCUUUGCUUCUCUUGGAAAUUCAUAACACCGCAUUUUGCAGGGUCGAGAAAAAAACCCGUUGUUGGUAACGGUGAAAAGACACAUCUUAUUUUGGUGUUCGGCCAUGAUUAUUGUUGUUGGAAGAACAACAGAGUUUUAUCUGAGAAUAUGUAGCAUUACACUGAAAGAGAGAGAGAGAGAGAAGAGUGUCAUGUAAUUUGAGCAUUCAAUGUCAUGAUGAGUGAUUUGGCAUAUUAGUUGGAAUUAGUUUUCCUUGUAGUUUUGGAGUGUCUGCAGUGUUGGACAUUACUGCUUCUAUUUUCCACUUGCAGCUUUUUUCAAAUGCAUUUUCUUUUAUUUUUUAGUGUAAAUUGCUUAAUGGUUUAAGUGAUUUUGUUCCAAUUCCUAUUUUUUGGUGCAGGAAAUAUGCUACACGCAUGAUGAUUUCUCGCCGCAUGUUGUUCACCGAGAUGUGAAAACAAGUAUCAUUCUUUUGGAUUCAUAAUUCAAUGCAAAAGUUGUUGAUUUCGGUCUCUCCAGGUGACUGAUUAAACCAGAAGAACUUGCCACCCUGCCAACUGUGGCUGGCGCAUUUGGAUACAUUGCCCCAGUGUAUGAAUUGCAGAAUAUGCUCAAACAAUUAGAGUCAAUGAGAAGAUAGAUGUUUACAGCUUUGGAGUAGUUAUUUUGGAACUGACAAAUGGAAAAGAAACUAAUCUAAAAAAAUGCCAGCCGGUAGACCAUCAAUGAAGGAAGUCUUGAAGAUAUUGAUCGGUUGCAGAGAUCCACAAGCAAGCCAAUGCAGAGAAGAUUGUUGAUAUUCAUGAUGAUGCUCCAUUCCUUAAGAACUUUGAUAGUGUGAUAAAACGCAUGCACGUUUGUAACGAACUUCGAACUGAUUUUUUUGACUAACAGUUACAGCUCCAUGUUUUCUCUUUUGAAGUGCAACAUUCACAUCAAACUUUAAAGAAAAUAAAUCCACAGCUUAAUAAACUAUGAAAAUUUGCUUCAA